UGCCUCAUCCUAGCCGCAUCAGGCCAAGC
rnacentral:piRNA from 1 species